rnacentral:lncRNA from 1 species
CAGUCAGUAACUGUGAAAUCACAAUAGCAUCUGAGAUAUUUUCAAGGUGCUACCUACAGUCUCCAUGGAAGCAUUCUUCUGGCUUGUCACUUGAGUCCUGUCAUGGUUUAAGACUGCAUUACAGUUUGGAGACUAAAUGGAUUUGGAUACCAAAACGCUCUAAUCCCAGAUGUACACAAUUUUAUGAAUUACACUACUCCCCUUUUCCAUGGGAGAGGCAAUGAGGUCCACGAAGAGAGUCUGGCAGGGAAGAGGUUGGUCAUAUUUGGUCUAUGUUCAUUGAAACAAAGACAAUUAAAGCUAGUGGGGUUAUGUGGACAGCUAUGCUAAACAGGUCUAACUCAUACAACUGCUACAGAUCCAGAACACCAGCUCAUCUUAUUGCUCCUGGAUUUGGAAACAAACUUGGAGCAAAUGCACAUUACAGUGAAGAAUCAGAAUGUCCCAAGUUAUUAACUGGUGUAAGACAGAUAAGCUGAUUUUGCCAGUAAAGAAUGCAUAUAUUUCACCUCCUCUAAAAUGAGUGAUGUAUGAAAUGAAGCCUUGGAUUUAAAUUCUAAAUUUCAUGAAAUGUACAGAAGCAUGAAUUUGGUGCUCAAAGACUGAUUUCUAGAAGAGCAGAAGCCUUCACACCACGUAAAACACAGAAGUCCCACUGAAAACACAUGCAUUCUGCCUGCAAAGCCCCACGUAUCAAGAUUUCAGUGAGGGUAAUUGCAAGUCAUGACUGGAGUCAAAAUUAAUCUGCUAAACUACUUUUCACAUGUAUUCACAAUCUGUGCACUAGCAAUACCAGACAAUUUAGAGAUUUUCAAGUGAGCAGUUAACUGACUUGGAUUUGUAAACACUUAAAAAAAAUUCUUGCAACUUAAGGAAAUCUUAUUAUGAUUGGGGGAAAAUUCCUAUCCUUUCUCCUCAUACGAGGCAGCCAGAAAACUUGAAUGCUUUAAAUUCCUUGAAUUUAAAGGAGCUUGAGAUGUGUUUUGAAAUAAUAAAUGCAUUUCCUCUUCCUGUCUCUAUUCCCA